CCCACUAAUUCUCAGUCAGACGAGUUCAUCUCCUGACAAAUAUCUGCAACAGUCCACACAGAGAACUGGAUUAGGAGUCAUUCUACUAGUACACUAAACAAUUUCCAGAAGACUAAACGACACCAUCAUCAGAUCAAACAACAGUUCCAGUGUUCAGCCAUGGUGUUGUUUGAGGAUCAAGAAUGUGGGGUCUGUUACCUGCGUUACUCCCGCAUCGACCGCGUUCCCAGAACUCUCCACUGCAACCACACAUUCUGCACCACCUGUCUGGAGACAAUGGGGCUGCAGUCCAGCGGCCUGCGCACCAUUCGCUGUCCCCUCUGUCGCCAGGUGACUUGUGUGGACCGUGGGCUCAGCUUGCAGGAGGCUCUGUUUGUCAAUAGCCAAGUGUGGGACAACAUUUGCGAUGAGCAAGAGGAGGAAGAGGACGAGAGAGAGCAGGAAAAAGAGGAAGAGGGGAAAAACACUAAUAUGCAGGUGCUGCCCUCAUCACAGGCUGAAUGUCCAGUGCGAAAACAAUACAGACCCAAACUCAGACUCCCGUCUUUCCUGAAGAAAAUGAGUUUUUCCAGGCACCCCGAAGAGAGGAUUGUUCCCACCUGCAAUGUGUAAGUCUUCAUCCUACUGUAAUGAUCGACAGCUCAGUUGAAACAAAAUGUAACAACAUACUGUAUAGAGAAAUGAUGUCAUGGAGAAGGAUUUCAUCAGAAGAGAUUUUUUGAAGGGCAACAGACACCAUAAACAAAUGAUUAGCAAUACAAACAAUAGACUUUCACCCGCUUUUUGCUUCGGUCAUAUGCUAAUUAUGCCUGGCGUACUGAAAAAGCGGGAGCAACAGUCAGUCCUGGACAAGGUUGUUUAAACAAAUUCAAACCCCUCCAUGUGCUUCUGCGACUACAUUUUCCACUUGAAUAGCCACAAGUCCGAAUCCUGCUCCUCCAUCUGAGGGGAACUUCUCAUUAGAUAUUCCACCCUUAAUCCGUCCCAGCUGCUGAGGCCGGAUUUGUUUCAGCUGUCCCGAGAGACAGAGGGUCCCAGAUGCGAAACAAGACUUUCAGAGCAGAUGGCAUCUUGUGAAAGAUUCAGAUCACCCCCACUUCUCUAAUAGACUCUUUUAAGUUAUUUUAAGCUUUGUUAUUUAUAUAACUUAUAAAUUAUUGUAAAUUAAAAAUUCUGAUUGCUGGUGUCUUUUUAAAUAGCACAUCCUUACAUCCUGUUUUACAAGACUAUCUAGAGCAGAGGGGGUUCAAACUUUUGAUAUAAGGACCCCAAAUAUGACAUUCCCCUUCUGAGGGACCUCUAUUUCCAAAGAAAAAAUAAAAAAUAAACUUUUUUUAAAAUAUAUUGUCAUUGUCAUUGUAUUUGAAAAAGAAUCAAAUAAAUGCAAUACCAUGA